CCUACGGGUGGCAGCAGUGGGGAAUAUUGGACAAUGGGGGCAACCCUGAUCCAGCCAUGCCGCGUGUGUGAAGAAGGCCCUCGGGUUGUAAAGCACUUUCAGUGAGGAAGAACGCCUGGUGGUUAAUACCCAUCAGGAAAGACAUCACUCACAGAAGAAGCACCGGCUAACUCCGUGCCAGCAGCCGCGGUAAUACGGAGGGUGCGAGCGUUAAUCGGAAUUACUGGGCGUAAAGCGCGCGUAGGUGGCUUGAUAAGCCGGUUGUGAAAGCCCCGGGCUCAACCUGGGAACGGCAUCCGGAACUGUCAAGCUAGAGUGAAGGAGAGGAAGGUAGAAUUCCCGGUGUAGCGGUGAAAUGCGUAGAGAUCGGGAGGAAUACCAGUGGCGAAGGCGGCCUUCUGGACUGACACUGACACUGAGGUGCGAAAGCGUGGGUAGCAAACAGGAUUAGAUACCCGGGUAGUC
rnacentral:rRNA from 1 species